GCGAGAUGAGUAUUCUAAGGCGCUUGAGAGAACUCGGGAGAAGGAACUCGGCAAAUUGACACCGUAACUUCGGAAGAAGGUGUGCCCUAGUAGUGUGAAGUGAACAACGGAGCAUGAAUGGGUUGCAAAAAAUCGGUGGCUGCGACUGUUUAUUAAAAACACAGCACUCUGCAAACACGAAAGUGGACGUAUAGGGUGACGCCUGCCCGGUGCUGGAAAAUUAAAUGAUGGGGUGCAAGCUCUUGAUUGAAGUCCCAGUAAACGGCGGCCGUAACAAUAACGGUCCUAAGGUAGCGAAAUUCCUUGUCGGGUAAGUUCCGACCUGCACGAAUGGCGUAACGAUGGCCACACUGUCUCCUCCCGAGACUCAGCGAAGUUGAAAUGUUUGUGAUGAUGCAAUCUCCCCGCGGAAAGGCGGAAAGACCCCAUGAACCUUUACUGUAGCUUUGUAUUGGACUUUGAACAGAUCUGUGUAGGAUAGGCGGGAGGCUUUGAAGCAGGGUCGCUAGAUCUUGUGGAGCCAACGUUGAAAUACCACCCUGGUGUGUUUGAGGUUCUAACCUAGGUCCAUUAUCUGGAUCGGGGACAGUGCAUGGUAGGCAGUUUGACUGGGGCGGUCUCCUCCCAAAGCGUAACGGAGGAGUUCGAAGGUACGCUAGUUACGGUCGGACAUCGUGACGAUAGUGCAAUGGCAUAAGCGUGCUUAACUGCGAGACUGACAAGUCGAGCAGAUGCGAAAGCAGGACAUAGUGAUCCGGUGGUUCUGUAUGGAAGGGCCAUCGCUCAACGGAUAAAAGGUACUCUGGGGAUAACAGGCUGAUACCGCCCAAGAGUUCAUAUCGACGGCGGUGUUUGGCACCUCGAUGUCGGCUCAUCUCAUCCUGGGGCUGUAGCCGGUCCCAAGGGUAUGGCUGUUCGCCAUUUAAAGAGGUACGUGAGCUGGGUUUAAAACGUCGUGAGACAGUUUGGUCCCUAUCUUCCGUGGGCGCUGCAGAUUUGAGGAAGCCUGCUCCUAGUACGAGAGGACCGGAGUGGACGCACCUCUGGUGUAUCGGUUGUCACGCCAGUGGCAUUGCCGAGUAGCUAUGUGCGGAAGAGAUAACCGCUGAAAGCAUCUAAGCGGGAAACUCGUUCCAAGAUGAGAUCUGCCGGGGCCUUGAGCCCCCUAAAGAGUCGUUCGAGACCAGGACGUUGAUAGGUCAGGUGUGGAAGCGCAGUAAUGCGUUAAGCUAACUGAUACUAAUUGCUCGUGCGGCUUGACCCG
rnacentral:rRNA from 1 species